rnacentral:lncRNA from 13 species
CGCUUCGAAAUAGUAAUCUUCAGAAAGACGAUUCAGUGUCAUUGCAAAACUCGUUUCGCACUUUUCGCGUCUCUGUGAAUAUUAGCCGGUGUGACCUUCUGGCAAUUUUGGACUUGCGGAGAGGGAGUCCUUCCACCCGGCCGUUCGUAUUCGCGCGGGUCGUCCUCCGUCGUCUCCGGAUCGUCGGCGUCGACGGCGCGUCUCCGUCCCCAGGUGGCGUUUCCUCGCUCAUUGGGUCGAACUUCGAUCCCGCCGUCCGUCGUCAGCAUCGGCGUGCGCUUCCGCGCUCCCCUUACGUCCCGACGCGUUCUUUCCCCGUCUGACCCCGCCACUGCAGUACGCGGCAACAGCAGCGAUCGUUGGGAGUCGAGGCAGCGUCGAGCGAUCGUGCGUGGUGUGCGUGUGCGUGUGCGUCAUCGCGUCGCGUUUCGAUUCCUCGUUCGACUCCCUUCGAUUUCUCGCGCGCGUGCCUCCUCCUCUCCCUACCCUUCUCUGCCAGCGGAGGAUUAGCACUGCACCGAACGACGACGACGACUUUUCGUGGAGUGGAUUCCGUCAGAUUCCACGCGUAAUGAGCGCCGCGAGGUAGAGCAGAACUGAACAGAACGCAGACGGAAGGAAAAUAGGGCGCGCGCGCGCGCGAGCGACGCUUAUUAAUCGAGUUGUGAUAAACGAGAGAUAGAGAGAGAGAGAGAGAAAGAGAGAGCAA